CCUACGGGUGGCAGCAGUCGAGAAUCAUUCACAAUGGGGGAAACCCUGAUGGUGCGACGCCGCGUGGGGGAAUGAAGGUCUUCGGAUUGUAAACCCCUGUCAUGUGGGAGCAAAUUAAAAAGAUAGUAACACAAGAGGAAGAGACGGCUAACUCUGUGCCAGCAGCCGCGGUAAUACAGAGGUCUCAAGCGUUGUUCGGAAUCACUGGGCGUAAAGCGUGCGUAGGCUGUUUCGUAAGUCGUGUGUGAAAGGCGCGGGCUCAACCCGCGGACGGCACAUGAUACUGCGAGACUAGAGUAAUGGAGGGGGAACCGGAAUGCUCGGUGGAGCAGUGAAAGGCGUAGAUAUCGAGAGGAACACUCGUGGCGAAGGCGGGUUCCUGGACAUUAACUGACGCUGAGGCACGAAGGCCAGGGGAGCGAAAGGGAUUAGAUACCCUAGUAGUC
rnacentral:rRNA from 1 species